GACAGAGGCCUCGAGCGUUAGGCGGAAUCACUGGGCUUAAAGCGUGUGUAGGCGGAUCGUUAAGUACCUUGUGAAAUCCCACGGCUCAACCGUGGAACGGCUGGGUAUACUGGCAAUCUUGGGCCGACUAGGGGCAGCCGGAACAAGCGGUGGAGCGGUGAAAUGCGUAGAUAUCGCUUGGAACGCCGAAGGUGAAAACAGGCUGCUGGGGUCGCGCCGACGCUGAGACACGAAAGCCAGGGGAGCAAACGGG
rnacentral:rRNA from 1 species